CGCCUGAUGCCACGUUGCCGGUAGUAAGAGUGGAUUGCAUUGACCGGCGAUGCUACGAUCGGGCGCAUAUCAAAUAUUUGUUGUUUCGCAUGUUGAUAGGAACCUGUGGGUUUCUAGUUAUAUCCAUGGAGCCAGUUUCUGCGAUUACACCU